ensembl:rRNA predicted gene, 23667
GUCCACAGCUCCAUCACCAAGAACAUGUUCCAAUCCUGUCUGAUCUCAGACACUAAGCAGGGUUGGGACUGGUUGCUACUUAGCUAGGGAAUCCUUUGGCUAGGCCAGACAUGGUGGUAC